GCCGGGCGAGGUGGCGCAUGCCUGUAAUCCCAGCUACCCAGGAGGCUGAGGCAGGAGGAUCGCUUGAGUCCAGGAGUUCUGGGCUGUAGUGCGCUCUGCCGAUCGGGUGUCCACACUAAGUUCGGCAUCAAUAUGGUGACUUCCUGGGAGCGAGGGACCACCAGGUUGCCUAAGGAAGGGUGAACCGACCCAGGUCGGAAACGGAGCAGGUCAUAAAUAAUUUUUUCUUUUUAAGUUUUUGCCAUAGAACGUGUGCACUCUCCAGAGAGCGAUAGAGAGAGAGA
rnacentral:SRP_RNA from 1 species